rnacentral:rRNA from 1 species
GACGAACGCUGGCGGCGUGCCUAAUACAUGCAAGUAGAACGCUGAAGGAGGAGCUUGCUUCUCUGGAUGAGUUGCGAACGGGUGAGUAACGCGUAGGUAACCUGCCUGGUAGCGGGGGAUAACUAUUGGAAACGAUAGCUAAUACCGCAUAAUAGUAGAUGUUGCAUGACAUUUGCUUAAAAGGUGCAAUUGCAUCACUACCAGAUGGACCUGCGUUGUAUUAGCUAGUUGGUGAGGUAACGGCUCACCAAGGCAACGAUACAUAGCCGACCUGAGAGGGUGAUCGGCCACACUGGGACUGAGACACGGCCCAGACUCCUACGGGAGGCAGCAGUAGGGAAUCUUCGGCAAUGGACGGAAGUCUGACCGAGCAACGCCGCGUGAGU